rnacentral:rRNA from 1 species
GACGAACGCUGGCGGCGUGCCUAACACAUGCAAGUCGAGCGGGGUUGAAGCGAGAGGUAACUCGAACUUCUACCUAGCGGCGGACGGGUGAGUAACGCGUGGGCAACCUGCCUCAAGGUCUGGGAUAACAGCCCGAAAGGGCUGCUAAUACCGGGUAUGCUUGUGGCCUCGCAUGGGGCUAUGAGCAAAGGGGAAACCCGCCUUGAGAUGGGCCCGCGUCCCAUCAGCUAGUUGGUGAGGUAACAGCUCACCAAGGCGACGACGGGUAGCCGGCCUGAGAGGGUGACCGGCCACACUGGGACUGAGACACGGCCCAGACUCCUACGGGGGGCAGCAGUGGGGGAUCUUGCACAAUGGGCGAAAGCCUGAUGCAGCGACGCCGCGUGAGCGAAGAAGGCCUUCGGUUGUAAGACUCUGUCUGGAGGGACGAAGGAAGUGACGGUACUCCGGAGGAAGCCACGGCGUAACUACGUG